GCUUAAUAGUUUUGCCCCGGAUAAAAGUAAUUUCUAGCUCCGCCCUUGGGAGGGAACAGAAGAAGUCUGAGAGAGAGAGAGAGCAAGAGCUGAGAAGGAAGUUUGAGCACGAGAGGGUAAACCGGUUUGAGAAAUUUCAAGGAGCGAAUCUGUACUUGAAGAGUCUUGAUGAUAUAUUGCGUUGAUGAUGAGAAACUCAAGGAGAUGUUCUCUGAGUUUGGAAAUGUAACCUCUCCCAAGCUGAGUGAAAUGAUAUGGAAAGAUGAUAGGAAAGAAACCACUUACAUAGCUUUUGCGCAGCGCAAAGAAGAUAGUCAAGCACACACGUAUAGGGUUCUUAUUAAGCUCUCUUCAGUUACAUAUUUAAGAAACAAAGGGUUUGUUAAAGCUGUUUUGUGUGUUUCAGGCGUUGUUUUCACAGAUUAGAGCACCAGGGUCAAUGUCAUCACCACUGACGAGGCUUCAUCACCCACCAGAUAAUCAUGAAAAGGAUUGGAUUGAUGUUGGCAGCAUAUGCACUGUAAUUUGAGCCCUGGAAGGAGAUAUAUGAUUAAUGGUCCGGGUACGGGAGGAACGGAAUGGAUUUGAGUGUUUCGCAAGGAACCUUACCUCCUCCAGUCAUGCAUUUGCCAAUUGAUGCUUCUUCAAACAUCACGAGAAAGAUUCCUUACUUCCAUUCUCUUAGCUUACUUCUCUCUUAGCUUCCGCUAAUCUUAGCUGAUCGCACACGGAUGCUUGGAGAGAGACUUUACCCACUUGUGGAAAAGCAUGAAUCACUUCACGUUGCUAAACUCACAGGAAUGCUAGCUGUUGGAGAUGAAUCAAGCCGAUAUCUUGCACCUGAUGGAGUCAGAAGACGCACUCAAGUCUAGAGUUUUUUUGAGGCUUUAGAUGUUCUAAGGCUAUUUGUUGAUGCACCUGAUCAUUAUGAUCUCGGUUUCUCUACCACCAACUGAAAAUCUCCACACCUCUAUUUUUUUAGUUCAACUUUAGAGUAUUUCUUUUAGUAUUUUUAUUAAUUUUUUUUAACUUAAUUUAUGAUUUUGAAACUUUUAACUUAAUGUGGUUGGUCCAUUUUAUUUAGAGUCUUUAACGCUACAUGAAAUUUAAUUGUUUAUCAUUUGGUAGUGAUUGUCAGCAAUAGGAAGCCA